AGAGUUUGAUCCUGGCUCAGAACGAACGCUGGCGGCAGGCUUAACACAUGCAAGUCGAGCGCCCCGCAAGGGGAGCGGCAGACGGGUGAGUAACGCGUGGGAAUCUACCUUUUGCUACGGAAUAACUCAGGGAAACUUGUGCUAAUACCGUAUGUGCCCUUCGGGGGAAAGAUUUAUCGGCAAAGGAUGAGCCCGCGUUGGAUUAGCUAGUUGGUGAGGUAAAGGCUCACCAAGGCGACGAUCCAUAGCUGGUCUGAGAGGAUGAUCAGCCACACUGGGACUGAGACACGGCCCAGACUCCUACGGGAGGCAGCAGUGGGGAAUAUUGGACAAUGGGCGCAAGCCUGAUCCAGCCAUGCUGCGUGAGUGAUGAAGGCCCUAGGGUUGUAAAGCUCUUUCACCGGUGAAGAUAAUGACGGUAACCGGAGAAGAAGCCCCGGCUAACUUCGUGCCAGCAGCCGCGGUAAA
rnacentral:rRNA from 1 species